rnacentral:rRNA from 1 species
UACGUAGGGCGCAAGCGUUAUCCGGAAUUAUUGGGCGUAAAGAGCUCGUAGGCGGUUUGUCGCGUCUGCCGUGAAAGUCCGGGGCUCAACUCCGGAUCUGCGGUGGGUACGGGCAGACUAGAGUGAUGUAGGGGAGACUGGAAUUCCUGGUGUAGCGGUGAAAUGCGCAGAUAUCAGGAGGAACACCGAUGGCGAAGGCAGGUCUCUGGGCAUUUCCUGACGCUGAGACGCGAAAGCGUGGGGAGCGAACCGG